AGUUAAAAAGCUUAUAAAGCAGGUACCUUGAAAGUACAAGAAAGGGGCUAAAUCCCCUAUUAACUU
rnacentral:tRNA from 1 species